rnacentral:rRNA from 1 species
AAAUUGAAGAGUUUGAUCAUGGCUCAGAUUGAACGCUGGCGGCAGGCCUAACACAUGCAAGUCGAACGGUAACAGGAAGCAGCUUGCUGCUUCGCUGACGAGUGGCGGACGGGUGAGUAAUGUCUGGGAAACUGCCUGAUGGAGGGGGAUAACUACUGGAAACGGUAGCUAAUACCGCAUAACGUCGCAAGACCAAAGAGGGGGACCUUCGGGCCUCUUGCCAUCGGAUGUGCCCAGAUGGGAUUAGCUUGUUGGUGGGGUAACGGCUCACCAAGGCGACGAUCCCUAGCUGGUCUGAGAGGAUGACCAGCCACACUGGAACUGAGACACGGUCCAGACUCCUACGGGAGGCAGCAGUGGGGAAUAUUGCACAAUGGGCGCAAGCCUGAUGCAGCCAUGCCGCGUGUAUGAAGAAGGCCUUCGGGUUGUAAAGUACUUUCAGCGGGGAGGAAGGGAGUAAAGUUAAUACCUUUGCUCAUUGACGUUACCCGCAGAAGAAGCACCGGCUAACUCCGU